rnacentral:rRNA from 1 species
UACGUAGGGUGCGAGCGUUGUCCGGAAUUAUUGGGCGUAAAGGGCUCGUAGGCGGUUUGUCACGUCGGGAGUGAGAACUCGGGGCUUAACCCCGAGCCUGCUUCCGAUACGGGCAGACUAGAGGUAUGCAGGGGAGAACGGAAUUCCUGGUGUAGCGGUGAAAUGCGCAGAUAUCAGGAGGAACACCGGUGGCGAAGGCGGUUCUCUGGGCAUUACCUGACGCUGAGGAGCGAAAGUGUGGGGAGCGAACAGG